UGUAGUCAUAUGCUUGUCUCAAAGAUUAAGCCAUGCAUGUCUAAGUAUAAGCAAUUAUACAGCGAAACUGCGAAUGGCUCAUUAAAUCAGUUAUCGUUUAUUUGAUAGUACCUUACUACAUGGAUAACCGUGGUAAUUCUAGAGCUAAUACAUGCUAAAAACCCCAACUUCGGAAGGGGUGUAUUUAUUAGAUUAAAAACCAAUGCCCUUCGGGGCUCCCUGGUGAUUCAUAAUAACUUCUCGAAUCGCACGGCCUUGCGCCGGCGAUGGUUCAUUCAAAUUUCUGCCCUAUCAACUUUCGACGGCAGGGUCUUGGCCUGCCAUGGUGACAACGGGUAACGGAGGGUUAGGGCUCGACCCCGGAGAAGGAGCCUGAGAAACGGCUACUACAUCCAAGGAAGGCAGCAGGCGCGCAAAUUACCCAAUCCCGACUCGAGGAGGUAGUGACAAUAAAUACUGAUACAGGGCUCUUUUGGGUCUUGUAAUUGGAAUGAGUACAAUUUAAAUCCCUUAACGAGGAACAAUUGGAGGGCAAGUCUGGUAAUCG
rnacentral:rRNA from 1 species